rnacentral:rRNA from 1 species
AUAUUUAAGUCUAAUCUGCCCACUGAUUAUAAAUUAAAGGGCUGCAGUAUAUUGACUGUACAAAGGUAGCAUAAUAAAUAGUCUUUUAAUUGAAGACUUGUAUGAAAGAUUUGAUGAAAUAUAAACUGUCUCUAAAUUAAAAAUUGAAAUUAAUUUUUUAAUUAAAAAGUUAAAAUAAUUUAAAAAGACGAGAAGACCCUAUAGAGUUUUAUAAUAAUAAUUUUUUAAUAUUUAAUAUCUAAAAAUAAAUUUAAAUAAUUAUUAUUAUUUUAUUGGGGUGAUAGAAAAAUUAAAAUAACUUUUUUUAAAAAAAUUACAUUAAUAAAUGAAAUUAUGAUCCAUAUUUUAUGAUUAUAAGAAAAAAUUACCUUAGGGAUAACAGCGUAAUUUUUUUUUUUAGUACAAAUAAAAAAAAAAGGUUGCGACCUCGAUGUUGGAUUAAGAUAAAAUUUAAAUGCAAAAGUUAAAAUUUUGAUACUGUUCGAUCAUAAAAUCUACA